rnacentral:rRNA from 1 species
GACGAACGCUGGCGGCGUGCCUAAUACAUGCAAGUUGAGCGCUGAAGGUUGGUACUUGUACCAACUGGAUGAGCAGCGAACGGGUGAGUAACGCGUGGGGAAUCUGCCUUUGAGCGGGGGACAACAUUUGGAAACGAAUGCUAAUACCGCAUAAAAACUUUAAACACAAGUUUUAAGUUUGAAAGAUGCAAUUGCAUCACUCAAAGAUGAUCCCGCGUUGUAUUAGCUAGUUGGUGAGGUAAAGGCUCACCAAGGCGAUGAUACAUAGCCGACCUGAGAGGGUGAUCGGCCACAUUGGGACUGGGACACGGCCCAAACGCCUACGGGAGGCAGCAGUAGGGACUCUUCGGCAAUGGACGAAAGUCUGACCGAGCAACGCCGCGGGAGUGAAGAAGGUUUUCGGAUCGUAAAACUCUGUUGGUAGAGAAGAACGUUGGUGAGAGUGGAAAGCUCAUCAAGUGACGGUAACUACCCAGAAAGGGACGGCUAACUACGUG